AACGAACGCUGGCGGCAUGCCUAACACAUGCAAGUCGAACGAGACCUUCGGGUCUAGUGGCGCACGGGUGCGUAACGCGUGGGAAUCUGCCCUUAGGUUCGGAAUAACUUCGGGAAACUGAAGCUAAUACCGGAUGAUGACGUAAGUCCAAAGAUUUAUCGCCUAAAGGAUGAGCCCGCGUUGGAUUAGCUAGUUGGUGAGGUAAAGGCUCACCAAGGCGACGAUCCAUAGCUGGUCUGAGAGGAUGAUCAGCCACACUGGGACUGAGACACGGCCAGACUCCUACGGGAGGCAGCAGUGGGGAAUUUUGGACAAUGGGCGCAAGCCUGAUCCAGCAAUGCCGCGUGCAGGAUGAAGG
rnacentral:rRNA from 1 species